rnacentral:rRNA from 1 species
GAUGAACGCUGGCGGCGUGCCUAAUACAUGCAAGUCGAGCGAACAGACGAGGAGCUUGCUCCUCUGACGUUAGCGGCGGACGGGUGAGUAACACGUGGAUAACCUACCUAUAAGACUGGGGUAACUUCGGGAAACCGGAGAUAAUACCGGAUAAUAUAUUGAACCGCAUGGUUCAAUAGUGAAAGACGGUUUUGCUGACACUUAUAGAUGGUUCCGAGCCGCAUUAGCUAGUUGGUAAGGUAACGGCUUACCAAGGCAACGAUGCGUAGCCGACCUGAGAGGGUGAUCGGCCACACUGGAACUGAGACACGGUCCAGACUCCUACGGGAGGCAGCAGUAGGGAAUCUUCCGCAAUGGGCGAAAGCCUGACGGAGCAACGCCGCGUGAGUGAUGAAGGUCUUCGGAUCGUAAAACUCUGUUAUUAGGGAAGAAGAAAUGUGUAAGUAACUCUGCACGUCUUGACGGUACCUAAUCAGAAAGCCACGGCUAACUACGUG